rnacentral:misc_RNA from 1 species
GAAAUGCGAUAAGUAAUGUGAAUUGCAGAAUUCCGUGAAUCAUCGAAUCUUUGAACGCACAUUGCGCCCUCUGGCAUUCCGGGGGGCAUGCCUGUCCGAGCGUCAUUGCAAACCCUCAAGCACGGCUUGUGUGUUGGGUCACCACGUCCCCGAUAUUCAGGGGACGGGCCCGAAAGGCAGUGGCGGCGUCGCGGUUAUCCGAUCAGCCCGAGCGUAUGGGGCUCUGUCACACGCUCGCGGUGGUUGGACCGACGUCACGUCCGGCUCUCGAGUUCUUCUCUCUCUCAGGUUGACCUCGGAUCAGGUAGGGAUACCCGCUGAACUUAAGC